rnacentral:snRNA from 1 species
UGACUCUGGGUUCUCUUCAAUUACCACAAGCCUUUCGCCUUUUUCUAAAGAGCUUUCCGUGGAGAGGAACACUUACGAUUCAACGGAUUGUUGGAGCGGCUUUGCUUCUUGCAGAGCC